rnacentral:lncRNA from 1 species
CGCAAUAUAGGGAAUGCGCCAGAACUGCAGCAGAAGUAUAUGAGGUAAAUAGAUUUAAGAACAGAAUAGGAAAAUAGGU